GUCACACCUGUUCCCAUCUCGAACACAGAAGUUAAGCUUCUUAGCGCCGAUUGUAGUGAAGGGUUUCCCUUUGUGAGAGUAGGACGUUGCCGCGC
rnacentral:rRNA from 1 species